CUACGGGGGGCUGCAGUCGAGAAUCUUUCGCAAUGGGCGAAAGCCUGACGAAGCGACGCCGUGUGAGCGAAGAAGGCCUUCGGGUUGUAAAGCUCUUUCGCUUGAGAACAAGAGAGGCGCGCUAAUAACGCGCUGAUUUGAUUGUAUUAGGUAAAGAAGCACCGGCUAACUCCGUGCCAGCAGCUGCGGUAAUACGGAGGGUGCAAGCAUUGAUCGGAAUUACUGGGCGUAAAGGGCGCGUAGGCGGAUUGGUAAGUCAGAUGUGAAAUUCCACGGCUCAACCGUGGGACUGCAUUUGAAACUGCCGGACUAGAGGAUAGUUAGGGAAAACGGAAUUCCACGUGUAGCGGUGAAAUGCGUAGAUAUGUGGAAGAACACCAGUGGUGAAGACGGUUUUCUGGGCUAUAACUGACGCUGAGGCGCGAAAGCUAGGGGAGCAAACAGGAUUAGAUACCCUAGUAGUC
rnacentral:rRNA from 1 species